rnacentral:tRNA from 1 species
UUAUAAGUAGUUUAAUAAAAUAUCAAUUUGUGGAAUUGGAUUUACUUUUUCAGGUCUUAUAAA